UCCGCGCGGGUGGGCUUGGAGCAGGCCGCACCGGGCGGGAACCCCACUCCCACCCCGGAGGCCCCCUGCCCUUUCUCCCCUUUUCCCCCCGGCCCAUGGUGCGAGGCUGGGAGCUGCCUCCCCGGCGGGACUGCGCUAUCUCUGAAGGGCACAAAUCAGAAAGCACCAUGCCUCCUAAUAAAGAGGCCAGCAGUCUUAAUAGCUCCCCGGCGGGGUUCAUCUGCCUCCCUCCAAUCUCCGAGGAGCUACAGCUUGUGUGGACCCAAGCAGCCCAGACCAGUGAGCUGGGUGGCAAUGAACACUUGCUACAAACCUUCAGCUACUUUCCCUAUCCCAGUCUAGCAGACAUUGCCCUUCUCUGCUUACGCUAUGGGCUGCAGAUGGAGAAAGUCAAGACUUGGUUCAUGGCCCAGCGCCUCCGCUGUGGCAUUAGCUGGUCAUCUGAAGAAAUAGAAGAGACUCGAGCCCGAGUGGUCUACCAUCGGGACCAGCUCCAUUUCAAAUCCCUUCUCUCUUUUACUCAUCAUGCAGGGCGGCCCCCAGAGGAGGUGCCUCCUUCUCCGAUGCCACCUCCAGAACAAGUGGGUCUUGGAAUAGUGCCCCUGACUCUUAGUGAGCCCACCCAGAUGAAAGGAUUGAAGGUGGAGCCUGAGGAGUCCUCAGAGCUGCUGAGUCACCAGAAAGCAAAGGAACCCCUGAUGGCACCUGGCAGUGGGACAUUCCCCCACCAAUCCGAUUAUUGGCAGAAUCUUCAAAGCAGUGGCUUCUCUAAGGAGCAGGCAGGCAGGGGUCCCAACCAGUCACAUGGCCUAGGUUCUGCUUCAUGGAAUCACUCCACAGCUGUCCACCAGCCACAUGCUCGGGAUAAGCCCCCACCAGUCUCACUACUUGCUAGUAGUUGUAAGCAGGAGUCAGCAUCUAAUAUGACUCCUCCUUCUUCCUCUACCUCUUCUUCCACUUUCCCGGUACUGGCUAACGGAGCUACUGCCACCUCUAAACCCCUCCAGUCACUGGGCUGUAUCUCACAGCCGCUGUCACCCAAUGAACAGGCACUGCCCCCACAUCUGGAGCCAGCCUGGCCCCAAGGGCUAAGACAUAACUCAGUAUCAGGUAGGGUUGGCCCUGCAGAGUACCUUUCCCCAGAUAUGCAACGCCAGCGAAAGACCAAGCGCAAAACCAAAGAGCAGCUGGCUAUCCUCAAAUCUUUUUUUUUACAGUGCCAAUGGGCACGGCGUGAGGAUUACCAUAAAUUAGAACAGAUCACUGGCUUACCUCGACCUGAGAUCAUUCAGUGGUUUGGUGACACACGCUAUGCCUUGAAGCAUGGGCAACUAAAAUGGUUUCGGGACAAUGCAGUACCUGGUGCCCCUAGUUUCCAGGACCCAGCAAUUCCCACACCCCCACCUUCAACCCGCUCCUUGAGUGAAUGGGCUGAGACACCACCUCUGCCGAACCCCCCACCCCCACCGGAUAUACGACCCUUGGAGAGGUACUGGGCAGCCCAUCAACAGCUACAGGAAAGUGAUAUCCCUCAACUGAGUCAGGCAUCAAGGCUUAGCACCCAGCAGGUACUGGAUUGGUUUGACUCUCGAUUACCUGCGCCAGCUGAGGUGGUGGUUUGUCUAGAUGAAGAGGAGGAAGAGGAGGAGGAAGAACUGCCAGAAGAUGACGAGGAUGAAGAGGAGGAGGAGGAGGAGGAAGACGAGGAUGACGAUGAUGAUGUGAUCAUACAGGACUGAGUCGGGGGGACUAGGGGAGGGAAGGUCUGGUACUAAAAGAUGAACCAACUUAGUAACUGUGUAAACAAAGAAACCACAUUUUUUUUAAAUUACCUUGUGGCAAAGAA